rnacentral:rRNA from 1 species
CCUACGGGUGGCAGCAGUGGGGGAUAUUGCACAAUGGGGGAAACCCUGAUGCAGCGACGCCGCGUGGGUGAAGAAGCGCCUCGGCGCGUAAAGCCCUGUCAGCAGGGAAGAAAAUGACGGUACGUGAAGAAGAAGCCCCGGAUAACUACGUGCCAGCAGCCGCGGUAAUACGUAGGGGGCAAGCGUUAUCCGGAUUUACUGGGUGUAAAGGGGGCGCAGACGGCGAUGCAAGCCAGGAGUGAAAGUCCGGGGCCCAACCCCGGGACUGCUGUUGGAACUGCGUGGCUAGAGUGCAGGAGAGGCAGGCGGAAUUCCUGGUGUAGCGGUGAAAUGCGUAGAUAUCAGGAGGAACACCGGUGGCGAAGGCGGCCUGCUGGACUGCAACUGACGUUGAGGCCCGAAAGCGUGGGGAGCAAACAGGAUUAGAUACCCCUGUAGUC